CCUCUUCCAGUCAAGAAAAAAGGAAGAUUACACCAACAAACAAACUAGCUAGCCAAUGGCCUCCUUGUCAUCUUUUCCGGCUCGCCGUGGCGGUGGCGGCACUAUUGGUUGUUGGCUCAUGUGCCACUGAGCUCACCUUCAAGGUCGCUAAGGGCUCUAGCGCCAAAAGUCUAGAGCUUGUCACUAAUGUUGCCAUCUCUAAGGUGGAGGUCAAGGAGAAGGGCGGCAAGGACUGGGUGGCGCUCAAGGAAUCGUCGUCUAACACCUGGACGCUCAAAAGUGAGUCGCCGCUCAAGGGCCCCUUCUCUGUCCGCUUCCUUGUCAAGAAUAGCGGCUACCGUGUCGUCGACGAUAUCAUCCCUGAAAGCUUUACAGCUGGCUCUGAGUACAAGAGUGGAAUCCAACUCUAAGUAACAGACAUGUGUACUCUUGUUGGGUCACAUGCGAAAUAUGAACAUCUAAAUAAUCCUCUCUUAAAAGAGAUCGUGUCAUGUUUGAGUGAGCAAAUAAUUAUUAUUUUUGGUUAUUUUGUUGUAAUAGGCCGAUGGCAACAUAAGGCAUACAUGUGUCCUUCCAAAAUAUUGCUGCGGAGCUGUAUGUGAGCAUUGUUUGGAAUAUAUGUCAUUUAUAUAAGAUAUAUGGAAAAAAGUAUAUUUGGUCAACUUUCAUUAAGAUGAUUGCAUCUGUUUGAUUUUCCAAAGUUUUAGUACAUACUUAUGUCCAAACCAAUGUAAUCCAUUUCACUUAUUUUAGCUUGUCAAAAAAUUUGUAAAGUCACAUCUACACUUUUUUUUCAUUUUCUAAAAACAAAUAGUUGAAUUGACUAUACUAUGACCUAAAACUAUAAGCAUUAAGCAUACUGGUACAUCGUUUACCUUACGAGAGAAUACAUUAUAUACCACUGUGUUUGUCACAGGUCUAUAGUUUGCUAUUGACUUUGUCACGUUCUACAAUAUGCCAUCGACUUUUCCUUAACUUCUACGACUUACCAUCACCAUCUGGUUAUCCUUCGUGAGAAAUGUAUAAUUUUAUCCAAUGACCAAAAUACCCCUAUAACAGAUACUUCCAAAAUUUGGAAAAAAAAUUUGAAAUAUCAUAUUGUAAACAUCCAAAAUUUGGCCAAAAACUUAAAAUCUGAUAUUUUAGAAUUUUUGUCUACAUUUUGGAAGUUUUUGUCCUGGAGGUAUUUUGGUCAUUAGAACAAAAUUGUACAGUACUAAUGGAGGCUAACCGGACAGCAAUGGUAAAUCAUAGAAGAUAAGCAAAAGUCGAUGGUAUAUUAUAUAAUGUGACAAAGUCAGUGGCAAAUCUUAGACAUGCAAUAAACUCAAUGGCAUUGCCGGUCUGAUUGGCAGAGUCCGAGUCAGACUCCAUUUUCAUCGGGUCUCUGGUUUCCUUACUUGGGAAGGCAUGUUUCGGAUUUCCAUUGGUUUCUAUCCCGAGUUGGACAUGGAGAAGGGCUUAUAGAGGGCAAGACCAACCCCUAUAUAAGGAACAAGGCCGGUUCAAUUGUUACCUGACAAACACACAAUCAAUAGAAUCGUUCUUUUACUUUAAUUUUAGCCAUGUUUUCUACUUUACCCUAAUUUUAGUUCAUCUUUAUCGAUUUGCACCGUUUGCCCAUAAAGAGGUGCCGUACUCAAAAAAUCAGGUUUGUCCUAAAAACCUUCCGUUUGCCCACAAGAUGGAUAGUUAUCCUCAUAUUGAUUUAAAUCGGCCUAGAGGCUGAUUUUGAUCUCUAAAUCGGCUUCGCUAGCCGGUCUAGCUUUCUUUUUACAAAACCCAUCUUGAUUUGGUUGUUUGGCUAGAUCGGGGUAGUUGCUGACUCCAUAUCCCCGUAAGGCAUUUAGGUGCUGCGAUCGUGCUUGUUGACUUCUCACAAAAAGUUGCCAACAGUAACAACAAAGAUAAAUAAUGUGAUGGAAGAGGGGAAUGUGCAGCACACCGUUUCAAAAUUGAUGAUUGAUAGUUGGUGACGAUUUCAUGGCUACAACAUCUCCAAUGUUGUACUCUCUCCAUCCUAUAAUAUAAGAAAUUUUAGAGAGAUAUGACACAUUUUAAGACAACGAAUCUAGAUGUGUCAUAUCCCUUAUAAUAUAGGAUGGAGGGAGUAUAAGUGAAUGUUAUCCAAUAAAUUCAACCAACUUUCGUAAUCAUACGUGUACCUUUUUAACUUUUUUAUGCACACACGCACAAAAAAAAAAGUGGUUACGUGUAAACAACUAUAGACACCACGAUCGAUUUGAACUAGAGCAGAUGGAGUGAAGGACUCCAUAUGUCCACCACCUACCUCUGAAAUCGAGUCAAAAAGAUAUGCGCUAAUUCAGAUAUGACAACCUAUUGUAACUAUUAAGCAGAGUAAAUAAUGUAUUAUCACCUCAGGAUUUAAGCAUAUUAAACAGGGCAGCAAAUCAUCACAUCAUAGCUAUGUUCUCAAACAUCUCAAGAUUCUAUGAAAAAUACUCUGUUCUUCCUAUGAUAUGUGUCAUGCAAUGCAAUCCAUGGGCUUGUAAAGACCUUUCUCUAUUAUUUAUUGCAGCAUAUAUGAUAAUAAGUGGUGUAAACAAACAACCAACUUCUCCAAAAGUUCGAGGGCCUUUCACUAUAUAUAUACAUGAGUUUCUCUGCAUUUCAAAUAAGCUGUACACCAAGGACAUCGUCUCUCUCAUUUACCAAUAUGUUUAGUUCUCUAGAUACUAUAACUAGAUUAAGAUUACCGGAUUAACUUAAAAAUCUGGUAUGCUGAUGUCACGAGAGCUUGCAAUUAAGAAAUACAGAUAUUAAACUAGUGUUCGACCAUAGAAGUACAAGCCAUUCAUGGACUAUAUAAAUAGGCCAAGGCUAGUGCUCAGCCAAAAGCUGAAGAUACUUUAACUCGUAUUCUAAUAUUUAUCAUAUUGAAAACCCUUCCAACAUGCAUGUGCUGCCUUGUGUAUAAACAUCUUCAGAUACGUACACAUGAUUAACUUAACUAGUUUAGGCUUAAGAGGCAUUGGGAAUCCGGGUGUAGCUACUCCCACAUAGUGCAUUACGUAAGUUGCAUUCUUCACUUGUUCGCAGUGAGUUUGGUGUUGUUUCAGGAUUCACGCUGGACCAUUCCUAUUAAAAACAACAAACAUUCAUUCAUAUUGAUGUGUAUAUCAGAGUUGCCAGAGUAAGUGGUUUGGCAUGCAUCUACAAAGUAUUGUUUACACAGAAAUUUUGCAACUCCUAGGCAAAGUUCUCAUAUCCAUCAGACUCUUUGGUGAUUUCCAAAAAACUAGAAUUCCAAGCGUGCUGGGGGAUUUCGUAUAUACCAGAAUUUCCAUUCUUAAAUCAAACCUUGUAGUCAAUUUAUUUUAUUAAAGCAGAUAGCUUGAGAUUUGGUCGAUGGAUAAAUACCACAACAGGCUAAUCUGUCAGAAAAAUGGCACUGCGAGCCGACAUCUAGUAUGCAAAUAUAAUGCUUUUUUCAUUUAAUUUGGCUUGGCUAGCAUCAUGCUAAUUAGGCCAGGGAAACACUAGGAGCAUUUCACUAGAUCGAUACGUGGCCGGGGGGAAGAUCAACCAUGAAGAUGAAGCGAGGCCGAAGGGAUUGAUACUGAACCAAAACGAAUUAAUACCACUUAUUUCUGGAAAAAAACGACUUGCACUUUAUAAUUAUCUGCAGUAUAUGUAUAUAUUCUGGCUCUUGUGCUAUUAUUCAGGUUUGUUCAACGUUUUGGACCAUUGUCCAUUAGAUGAUUGGUGAUGGACUGUUUGGAAUCUAGCCGAUUCAUCAAGCGCGAGUUCCCCCGCUUCGCCCCCAAAAUCAAUCACAGCAACGACAUCAUCAUCGCAUAAACAGAACAAUACAAACAACACAAACAAGAAAUCUACCGGAUCCGUCCGCGGGUCGCCGCCGCGGCCGUUAGAUCCGACGGAGAAGUCAUCGCCAUCGCCAGAUCUGCGGGAGAAGGUUGGGGCGAAGGGGGAGAUCACUAGAUCUGCUCGCCGGAAACGCCGUCGCCGCCUCCUCCGCAGGAUAUGCCCAUGGGAGCACCGAUGCAACCGCCGCUGCUACGGUAGAAGCUUGGGCGCGGAGGAUGAGGAGGAGGGGGUAGAGAACCGCCAGAUUCAGUCGCCGAAAACGCCACCACUAUCGCCUCCGCCGGAUCUGCCCGUCGGAAACGCCACCGCCGCCAACUCCGCAAGAUCCGCUAGCGGGAGCUACCGACGCCACUGCCACUGCCUUCACUGGAUCCACCCAUCGGAUAUGCCACCGCCACCGAUGGAUCUGCGGGAGGGGGCUGAGGAACGCCGAAUCUGGCCCGCAGGAGCUGCUGACACCAUUACCACCACGAGGGGAGGAAAGGGGUGACUGAGUGAGAGGGGGAGAGAGACGGGUGAGAGUAGGGCAGCGAAUGAUAAGGUCGCCCCCCGUCACCUCCCACGCGUGCCUUUAUCCACUCGCGUGCGGCUCUCUCUUGGCUCGGCUCGUUUGAUAGGUGCGUUUUUUUUAAAUACCGGCACCGAUAAUAUAUUAUAGCUGGCGGUUUUUAAUAUAUUAUAAUUGUCGGUUUUUUUAAAAAAAAUAGCACGUAUAGUAUAGGUAUUGGUUUUUCUAUUAAACCGGCACCUAUAUUCACUUAAAGGUGAUGGAUUUUUUUUUUGUAUUUUCAGCCUGUGGAGGUGGGCAAAAUACUAUAGGUGCUAGUUUUAGCUGUUCCGGUGCCUAUAGUGCCAAUAUGUAUGUGCUUUUUUAUACUAGUGAUGCUGAGGGUUUCAUACCAGAACUUCCAUUCUAAAAUCAAUCCUUCCAGUCAAUUUAUUUUAUUAAAGCAGACAGCUUGAGGUUUGGGGCAAGGAUAAAUACCACACCAGGCUAACCGAUCUGAAAAAUGGCACUGUGAACCUACAUCUAUAUAGUAUGCUAAUAUAAUGCUUUUCUCUUUGGCAUAGCUAGCAUCAUGUUAAUUAGGCCUGGAAAGCACCAGGACGUUCACUUGCACCAUGGAAAGAAGUCAACAGCCUUCACUGUAUGGUUAUGCCGAUUCGGUUUUUUUUACGUGUCUACUUGGUGGGUAAGGAUCGAUAGGGUGCUCCGGAGAGGAAGCAUUCCACGAAGAUGCUAGAUGAAUGCUCCGGUUAAAUUGCUGGAUGAGGAUAUCCAUCUUUGCUAAUCUCUAUCAUUAGUAAUUAUUUGCAAUAAUUAAUAUAUUUUGUUGUUAAUUGGUAAUUAACUUGUCAAAAAUAGUAUUGAUAAGAUAUAAUUAGUCUAUUUUGUUGUUAAUUAGUAUAAACUAUGACUAUAUUAAUGAUAAUUAAUAUAUUUUAUUAUUAAUUAAUAUGUUCAAUCCAUUCUUAUCCACCCAAUCAAACAAGAAAUUGGAUCAUCAUAUCUAUUAGAAAAAAACUGACCAUAUCUGUGUAAAUAUGGAUGACCAAACGUGGCCGGGGAAGAUCAACGAUGAAGAUGAUGUGAGGCCGAAGGGAUUGAUGCUGAACCAAAACGAACCCACUUAUCUCAGGAAAAAACGGCUUGCACUAGAUAAUUAUCUGUAGACUAUGUAUAUAUUCCGACUGCUGCUUGUGUUGGUAUGCCGGUUUGUUCAACGUUUACAGAUUAAUUAUUGUUUCGUACCAUUGUCCAUUAGAUGAUUGGUGAUGGAAUGUUUGGUACGUAUAAACUUUUAUACCUUCAAAUAUAUUUUUGACAAACAGCUAACUUCAAAUAUUUAACCAAUGUUUUAUGAAUGAGGCAUCCCAAUUAUUUUUUAGAUAAUGGAAAUGGAUUAUAUCUCCGGCUUCGGUCAUAACACACAAAGUCAUAAGUUUAAUACAAAAGGUAAAGAUAAAAAUAAAUCAAAAUGAGAAAUAAGAUGAUGGGACAAUUCCCCAACCCCUUUAUUAUUAACUAGCGUUAAACCACACAGAUUUCUAGCUAGCAAUUCUAAUGGAACUACGCCACCCAUAGUGAAAUAAGAGACCCUUGGCUACUGAUUGCAAAAAUAUAGCACCAUUACGCGUGGUAUCAUGUUCCUCUUGUGGUAGCAUCGUAGACCAAAAAUGGAUCCAAUUGGAAGACAUGAAGAUAAUCUACAUAGGGUUAGACAAUUAUUUAGCAUUAAAAACUUUAUCAUUACGACAACUCAUAAUUGGCCAACUUACAACACUAGCUCCGAUUAGAAUCAAUUUUUUAAUGGACCUAGGUACCCCUCUAAGCCAAUUACCAAAAAAUAUUUUUGACGUUACCGGGUGAAGGGAUAUUAAAAACAAAAAAUACACAUAUGUAACAAACUGAGCAACUUGAUACUUGUCAACGGUGGAUACCCGUAGACUGGAUAAAUUGAGUAUUGGAGACAAGAAACAAGGAUUAUACUGGUUCAGGCCCCUCGUGAUGUAAUAGCCCUAAUCCAGUUUAUACGAGAUUAAUAUAGAAAACCACAUAGUACAAAGGGUAUAGAUGAAUCCAAUGAUACCGACGAGAUCCUUGUUGAGAUUGAUCAACGUGAUCUCCCGGCGACUUCGCCUUGAGUUCUUUGGCUUCGUAAACUAUGGUGGGUGUGUUGGCGUUAUGAUUUGAUGAUCCCGAGCCCUUCCGGGAGUGUGCCUUUUAUACCAUAAGUUGCCUUAGUCUCCAAGUAGAACUCGGAGACAAUGAACCCUGCACGAUAUAGAAUAAUCUCUAUCCUCUCCUAGUAGGACUCUGAUAAUCUACAUGCUGUGAGGAUAUUUUCCAUAAUACCUUGCAUAUUUCUUUAUCGCAUAGGGAAACAUAUCGUAGGAUAUGAGAUAUGCCAAUCCGGCAUAUUUGGUAAAUUGUAGGAUAGGAGGUAUGUCUUAUCCGUAACCCUGAAAAUACUCAAAGAAAAGAUGUUGGAUUAUCUCUUGUGGAUAACAGAAAGAACAAUGUUUCUUCCUCCCCCCCCACCCUUUUCUUAUGGCCAGGUUUUAUUUCGUUAGAAUUACUUUCUUAUGAAAAAACCACAUACACACCUUUAUCUUUAGUGGAACCUUUAAGUCUCAUAUAAUUCCUUUUAUCCAAACAUUAGAGUUCAUAAUCAUAUAGAUUUGACUGAAAAUUGGCCAUUCUUAUGGAGCGACCAUACGAAACAGUCCUUUUCAUUUUUGUUUGACGGAGUCAUACAAAUUAGCUAGCCUGAGGAUCCCAAUUACUUAAUCCACAAUUUUCUUAGAGAUUAACACAAAUGUAAAAUGGCCUAUAUUACAUAUAGUACGUAGGGCAUGUUCACUUUGAUGACAUUUUCAACCUUACCAAAUUUUGGUAAAGUUGCCAAAAAAGUGGCUACAUUUAGUUUGUUGCCAAAAUUUGGUAACUAUAUAAGAAAUCCUACCAAAAUUUUUGGCAAGUUGUCAAAAUUUUGGUAAUGCCAAAAUUUAGUAAGGUUUUUUUAGCAUCAAAGUGAACAGACCCGUAAUGACUAUGAGAUAUCAAUAUAUAUACAUAUAUAUAUAUAUAUGUAUAUAUAUAUAUAUAUAUGUAUAUGUAUAUAUAUAUAGGAGUUGGAUAAUAUGAACCUAGGUGCAUCUGCACCUCAAUCCCACAUGUGACACGUGUCUAUUUUUCGUUGUAGCUGAUCAUCAUUUUCACCAAAGCUCCUACAACUUGUACCUACCCAGCCCAAACUCUUAUAGGGAAAAUUUUAGGCAGGUACACAAUGAUGCUGUAGUCAUGCAUUUCUCACCCACCCAUGUACUAGUACUAGUCUGCAACUGUAUUCAUGUCUUUUCACUAAUGUGACCGUGAGAGAGAAUGAGAGAGAGAGAGAGAGAGAUGAACAUGUAGUUUUAAUAGAUCUCUUGGCUACAAUCACAUUACUCCAUGUGAUUAGCCAUCAAAUAUACGUUGAUUUUUUUAAUUAAUCUGACCACCUUGUUUUGUAUGUCCGGAAAUUAAUCUAUAUCUGGUUUUAUUCGGACAUGAUAUAUCAAGAUGAAUGUCCAAUCACCAAACAAAUACAAUAUAUCCGAUGUCCAAGAAUGACAUUGUGAAAAUAAUAUAUCAUUUGGCAUAAAUUAAAAUAAAAAAUACAUGAUUUUUAUUUUUACAGAUAUAUGCUACAUAACAAAGUAUAAUUUCAUUAAUUGACAAAGAAAAUAAUAUACACUGCAAUUUGUUGACACCGAAAAUGAAAUACAACGAAAAUAUCAUUUUGAAAAGUCAUGUCUAAAAAAAAGAUGUCGCAAAAUGAUAACAUAUAACUUGACAUGUAUUGAAAUUAAAAAAAAAAUCACAUGCGUGUUAUUUCCAAAAUGGUCAUGUGUACUAAAUUUCCAUGGAUAACAAGAGAAAAGAAACAAUAUUCAAAUGAUGAGUAAAUACUACAUGAUGUGUGGUCAACUACCUCUCAUCUGUUCUUUCUCUCUCUUUGCUCAGGAAGUACAUGUCCCAUGUCAGAGCAACACAUGCAUUACGUACCUCCCUGACAUUUUCUCGUGUAGACAAUCUUCAUUAGUGAAAGGUCCAUUUAGAAAGCACGCAUCUUGGAACGAUUGAAUGGUUGUGAUUCUGGGUGCAGAUGAACCUCGGUUCAUAUCUGCUUUUAUAUAUAUAUAUAAACUGUGCAAACGAAUAGAAAACUUCUAACAAAUCUCGAUGGCCUUGCUAGCUAGGUGAAUCAUCAUAUACUUCCAUCUUUUUUUUUCCUUUGACAAUUUACAGCUUACUAGCUUACAGGAUUGGGAAAUCUCUGGAAUUUUCAUAUAGCUGCACAAAUUGUGGCACAGAGCUGCAUUCACAGUUCUAGAAGCAAAUCAUCAUAGUCAAUAUGCAAGAGUGGCCGAUUAGCAGUUACUCCGACAGUUGGAAGUAGGGUACUAGUACAUUCUGGUUUUUGAGCAAACAGUUCUAAUUGGCCAUUGGUCAGUUCUUUUUUUGUUCAUGUUGUUACUGUAGCUAGAAAUCCAAAACGCCACCAAAAUGGAUAUAUACCAAAAAAAAUGUGCAAUUCUUAAGUUGCAGUCACCACUGAAUCUGAAGUCAACUAAACUUCAUACACUAGGCUCAUAUUCUUGCUAAUAUACUUCAUACAAAAUAGGGGCACAUUCUUACAUAGGAGUAGCCAUUUUUAAUUCAACUAGGAAGAUAGCCCGUGUAUUCACGCGGGCAUGUGUCGUACAUUAUGUUUGAACAUCUACAAUAUAUGAUUUCUCCAUAAAUUGUUUUCAUUAGCAUUGCUUUCAUAAUUGUCUAACCUAGUUAUUAGUUAUCUUUAUAGCAUAUCAUAUUUAAUUAAUUCCUACAAGCAAUUAUUUAUAAUAUUCUUCAUCAUCUACUAAGUAGGUAGACAUAUUUUGUGUUAGAAAACAUGUAUAGAAAAUUAAGUGUAAAAUGAAAAGUAAGAUGUUUUUUAAUUGAAUAUAGGUUGUCAUUGUUUAUUGACGGAUGAAUUGGGUGGGAUAUGAGGCUCUACUAAAUGCAUGGGUUUAUAUUAUUGUUUAAUUUGAGAAAGAACCCAUAUGUGAACAUUCCAUGUAGAGAGUGUGUGAGACUCCAUGCAACCUAGCGCAAAUAAUAUUGGAUGAAGAAAUAUGGUUGUGCAAUAUAUUAUUUUGAUAGAUGAUGUAUUAUGAAUACACGCUUGUCUUUUAAGAUGAGAUAGAACUAAUGGUUGGAAAUAAUGGGCUUAUCGGUUUAAAAGGCCUAGGAGGAUUUAUGGGGUAAUAGGUGGCGACUUUAUAUAAAAAAGAAACCAUUAUCUAAAAUUGAUUAGAUGAUAUAUAAAAUAAAAUUAUCAGUGUAGCUUAAAAUUAUGCUCUUUUUAAUAUUUGUUUCUCUCUAUAGUUUUGUAGCUGAAAAUAGGGAGGAGACUGGAGAGAAACGAAUAGCGUAGAACUCAAAUCAGAUAUGAGAAAGGGUUCGCAGUGCAAUGGUGUUAUGUGAAUAUGAUUGGAGAGGGAGGUGGAUGGUACAUUGUUUUUUUUUAAUAAAAAAUCUUCGUAAACAAUCUAAGUGAGAACCUAUGAUUUGUUGUUUUCUCAUUAUAAGGAUCUUUAAGACAUGACAUGUGGUGGCUUAAGUUUUUUUAUAAAGAGAAAGGCAAUCUAAUAGUUAAAAAUAAUGGGUCAUCAAAUUAAGUGGAAACCGAUGGAUAGAUAUAUACUUUAUUUUCUCUUGGAAUUUCAAUUUUUUCAAAGUUUUAAAAUAUCAUACAUGGUGACUUGAGAGUGCUACAGAGCACGCUUAAUCGAUCUUUACUAUGUAAAACGAUUCAAGAAUAUAUAAUAUACGUUUUCAUGUUUUUCAAUGUUUCGUUGUUAUUUGGUAAGGAGAUUUUAUUUUUAUUGAGGUAUAUUUAAUGCCUUCAUCAGUUUGAAAUAUUUAUGUCUUUAAAUCCAAUUGUUAAAUUAUAACUCGACUGAUUUAAAUGAAAAUUGAUGAAAUUAUAAGUCUGCCAAUUUAAUUGAAAAUUGAUGGUUAGAUUUGUUUUCUUCGGAUCGCCGGCCGAGUCUCCCCCAGGCCCACGGCUCGGACCGGGCCCCCUGGAGCCACCACCCCUGCCGGAGCCGCCGGUCCGACUGCCGCCCGUGGUGGCGCCGCUGCUACCCGUGCCGUCGCCACCGCCACCACCGGAGGCGCCUCGGCGGGACCGACCCCUACAGCACCGACGGCCGACAUCACAGCCAGGAUAUUCUCCCGGUCGCGGUCGCUGCAGAGGGGGAGGAUCCCGUCCGGAAUCAGCAUUUGCUCGACGGUGUCCAGGCCCAGCACCGCCGAACCACCGUCUUUGCGUCCUCCUCGCCCCAAUCCCAGCGCUCACCUACGUGGGUGCACAUGGGAUCGUUAUACCUGGUGUACUCCCACGCGCCGCGGGACUGCUCCUGGAGAGGCGUGAUGCGACGGCGGAAGUAGUCGCCGAACACCAUCGCCGCCGUUAAGCCCUAGCUUCCCAGGCCCUUGAGGCGGUCCCGCACCGCGUCGUACUCCUCGCCCAGCUCUGAAACUGCCAACCACGCGGCAGAUCGUUCGGGAGGGCCGGUAGGGAGCCGAAGUCGCGGACGAUCCGGCAGCGCAGUGUAGAACCAAUCCUUCUUCCAAUCCUCCCACUUCUUGCGGAGGUCACUAUCGAUGUACUGCCCCGCCACGCCUGGCCGGGGCUGGAAGUAGCAUCCUCCCCCUACCGCGCCUUGCAGCAGCUGUGGGACGAGGAAGGACUGGAACAGCCGCAUUGUCGGCCGCACCCCGACGAACAUCUUGCACAAGUGCGCGAAGAUGGCCAGCGUCAUCAUAGCAUUGGGGGCGAGAUGCAAGGCAUGAAUUUCGUAGAAAUCCAAGACCUCGUGGAAGAACCUGGAGAAUGGCAGGAUCAACCCCACCAUGGUGAAGGAUAGGAGGUGCACGGAUCGCUCUGGGUACCGUGGCUGCGGCCGCGUCUCCCCUACCCUCACGGCGGCAUCCUCUGGAAUGAUCUUGCGGAUGAGGCUAAGGUGCCUCUCCGCCGUAAUGCGCGAUGCCGGGAGGACGGCGUCGCCAGCAUCUUGGGCCAUGAUGGCCAGCGGGAAACGGCGAGGAGUUUGGCGUACGGAAUAGGAUGGAGGGAGAGAAGCACUAGGGCUUGAGGGGCGAGUAUGCGGGUGUGCAGUCGGCGAGAGGAAGGAGACGAACUCUCCGCCUCCCUUCCCUUUUAUCCCCACCUCGGCCGCGCUCGCCUCCUCGUUUCACGCCCCUGCGGUUGCCCCAUCGAUUCCUGCGCCUACGGUUGCCUCCUUGAUUCUCGCGUCCACUCAUCACGUCGCCCCACUGAACCCGCGCCCCGCGGUUAGUGCGCUUGUCAGUGGCGCACUCGGCGCGGGACAUGCGGUGUUCACGAGCACGGCUAGGCGGGCCCGCCGUCGGUCCCUUCGCGUGCCUAGCAGGCGGGGGAGUUGAGGCGGCGUUGGGUGACGAUUCUGGGUGUGAUCUGGCAGACCCCCCGACUUUUGCGCCCUAAGUGCCCCAGUGAACGGCGCACUUAGUGGCGGUCAAAUCGCCAUUAUGGCUGAUGCGCCAGCCUGGCCACCCGACGGCGGCUGCCUAGUUUCCCCGCCGGACCCACAACCACAGCACGGGAACUCAUGAGGAACCACGCCAGACCGCCCUCAGGGGGCCAAUGUCCGACGCGGUGCCGGGGGCUACUGUCGGUGAUAUGGGCCCGGGGGUAUGCAAAGUACGGGGGAGUUACCUUCAAAUGCAGCCACGUGGCCCUACAACUUGGCCCUCCCCCCACACCUCGGAAGACGCAAAAGCAGCCAGGGGGCCUCGGGGUGCCACGUCACGCCCCUCGGGCCCUCGCGCUGCCACGCCCCGAGGCCCUCGCCCAGCUGCCAUGUGGCGAGGGGAGCGCGCGGGGAGGAGACUCAGGCUGAACCCCCAUCAAUGCGCGGCGCCCCAACCGUUUGUCACCGCAUUUAAUGCGGUAAGGGCGGACGUGCGGUGCGGCCUGAUUGACCUACGUCAAUCAGGCAUGACCAGACUGUGACCAGCCCGUCGCCGGUCACGUCCGGUCGGACGGGCAGCCGUGUCCCCACGUUCGCCCCUGUACCCGGCGGAGUGGAGGCAGGUAUGCCCCGUCCCAUCAAGGCAUCAUCCGGAGCUCCCUCCACGUGAGAAGGACCGUCACAAGUCUUCGUUCAUUUAAGAGGGAAUGACAGAGCUGUCCUCCGUGUCAGGCGGGAGGUGGCGCUGGGUCCCACUCGAGGACGGACGGCCGCUUAGCUUCUGGGCGAAGGCACAGAUCGUGGUCCGGUCUGAGUAGAGUGGGUCCCCCUCCCGUGAUAGAGUAGGUAGAAGCGGUGCAUGUAGUAUCCCCUUGAACUAUAAAAGGAGGACCUUGCCCACCGAGAAAAAGGGACGACUCCUAGUAGGCCUAAACCCUAGGAGAAGAAGAGCGAGAGUGCUCUCCAGAGUUUAGGAACCUUUGUAACACUCAACCAUAAAUCCCAUCCAUAGGAGUAGGGUAUUACGCUCCAUAGCGGCCCGAACCUGUAUAAUCUUGACACCGUGCACGAUCUCGAAGCACUCAGGGCAGAUAAACGAUUUCGUCAAGCGUGCCUUUUCCCCCGGCCAAACUCACAAAAGGGGGAUCUCACUGUCACCCGCUAGAGAGGAUCAUUCCUCGACAGCACUAGACCUCUACUCCUCCCUGAGCAUAGUCCCGGUCCUCACUAUUGACCAAGGCUGACCUCAAGUCACCUGCACACAAUCAGACAAAACAACCGUUCCUGGGCACAGAUAUCACAACCUGACCCACAUUAGUCACACGCACUCACACCAACAUUCACAUAAAUUCUCAAACCAAUUCAUUGAUUAAAUCAUCUGCACAGCCAAUUGUUCAUCACAAAUAUAUUAAUCAUGACAAUGAUUUCAUUAAUCAAUCAUCCCCGAAUUGCCUCCAAAUACACAAAUCGAUCAUAUCAAAUACAUCACAAAAUCUUAAAAAAAUUACAUCACAACUUCUACAAAAUUCAUCACAAAUCCACAUCGCAUACAAAUCAAAUACAUCACACAACAAUCUCAGAUCCAAUCAAAUACAUCACACAACAAUAUCAGAUUCUCCCAAAAAAAAAACCGCCAAAGUAGGCGCCGCCUCGCCGCGCGCCGCGCCGCUGCCGCGCUGGCCGGCCCUCCACGCCCCGCUGCCCUCGCGCCGGCCUGGCAUCCUCGCCCUGCCGCUUCACUCCGGCCUGGCAUCCUCGCCCCACCACUGCAGUAGAGAGGAGAAGGAGAGGAGAAGGAGAGGAAUAGAUAAGGAGAGGAACAGAUAAGGUUGAGGAGAGGAGGAGAGAGGAGUUAAAGGAGAGGAGGAGAUACCUCGAUCUGAUCGGCACGCCUCUCCGAUCUCCGCGUUGAUCUUUUUUCCCGGUUGGUAACACCAACCGGGACUACAAAUAGAUUUUUAGUCCCGGUUACCAACCGGGAGUAAAGCGUAUGGCGAUCUUUUUUCCCGGUUGGUGUUAUCAACCGGGACUACAAAUAGAUCUUUAGUCCCGGUUGGUAACACCAACCGGUACUUAAAGAUUGGAAAGUACCCCUGGAGUUUUUAAACCGGGACUAAAGAUAUUUAUAGUCCCAAUUUUUAAUACAACCGAGACUAUUGUGAAAUCUGGUCGACCGACCAAAGAUGGUUUCUCCACCAGUGUCAAGCACACCCUCCAAAUCUCCAUCAGCGCUUGCCCAAGGACAUCCUCUCACCUGUAGCUCUCAUGUUGCAUGACUGUAACAACAUGUGCACCUGCCAAUUAAAAUUAAAUUGAAUUUAAAGUGCACUCUUGUUUGAAGCACGAUCUACACCGACUUGUAGGAUUAUUUCUCCCAAGGCCAUGUGCUCCUUUCCACCUAUGCCUCAUCAAUUCGCCAUCUCUUAUUCCUGUCAAAUUUAUUUCAUCGACUGCCACCACCGUUCGAUAUCCAGCUAGGGGCGCACUACCAUAAUAAUUAGCAUCAGCACCAUCUAGCCAUGUAUGCAAACCCAUGUCCCAGAUAUAGAGCCACAACGGGGCAGCACCUGGGACCCUCCAUCACCGCCAUGGUGCCAUCAACAUUGAACUGUUGAUUGCCCCUCUGCCAAGAAUACUAUAUAUGCAUGCCACACGGUGCCCCUCAGUGCCUUGCUCAUCAUUCCUAACCAUUUUCUCGGCCACCCAUCUAUCUUCCACUGGCAUAUCCACCCCCCUCCCAAUUUGAUCAUGCAUGGGUCCACAUGCUCAAUGAACGGAUCAUGAGGAGGUGACUAAUUCUCAUUAUCUAUAAGUUAAAAUGGCUGCUUUUUGGGAGGCCUGCAUGCCCUACGCUAGCGAAACAACCGGGACUACCAACCUUGCAUCUAUUUAAAGCAAUUGUAUAAGAGUCCUUCAACGAAAAUGGCUGCCAACGAUCUCCAUGCUGCACCACACAUUUUCUUACCACCCCCUCCCCCCUCCACCAUAAAUAUGCACCCAGCUGCAACAUGGAUCACCGAACACAUCGAUCCAUCCCUCUACCAAGCAAGAAACAAGAAACAUUACACCAAAAAACUAGCUAGCUAGCCAAUGGCCUCCAUGUCCUCCUUCCGACUUGCCGUGGCGGUGGCUGCACUAUUGGUCAUUGGCUCACAUGCCACAGAGCUCACCUUCAAGGUUGCUGAGGGCUCUAGCGCCACUAGUCUAGAGCUCGUCACCAACGUCGCCAUCUCUGAGGUGGAGGUCAAGGAGAAAGGCGGCAAGGACUGGGUGGGGCUCAAGGAGUCGGGCUCUAACACCUGGACACUCAAAAGUGAUGCACCACUCAAGGGCCCCUUCUCCGUUCGCUUCCUUGUCAAGAACGGUGGCUACCGUGUCGUCGAUGAUGUCAUCCCUGAAAGCUUUACUGCCGGCUCUGAAUAUAAGAGUGGCAUCCAACUCUAAGUAACAGGCGUGCAUACUCUUGUGUUGGGUCAUAUUGGAAUUAUGAACCUCUAAAUAAUUAUGUCUUAAAAGAGAUCGCUCCAUGUUCGAGCGAACCAUUAAUUAAUUUUCUAUUAAUUAAUUUUCUGUGGUUAUUUUUUUGUAAUGGGCUAGUGGCAAAAUAAGGCAUACAUGUGUACUCCAAAAUAUUGCUGUGGAGCUAUAUGCAAAGCAUGGUUUUGAAUAUAUGUUAUUUAUAUAAGAUAUAUGGGAAAAAGUAUAUUUGGUCAACUUUCAUUAAGAUGAUUGGGUGCAUUAUUUGAUUUUCCAAAGUUUUAGUACAUAGGUAUGUCCAAACCAAUGUGUUCCUUUCACCAUUUUAGCGUGUCAAAAAUAUUGUAGAGUGACAUCUAUACUUGUUUUUUUUUUUCCUUUCUGAAAACAAAUUGUUGAUUCUCAGCCAUACUAUGAACUGAAACUAUAAGCACUAGCCAUCAACCCAUACUAUCUAAUUAUAUCAUCAUAAAUAUUAAUACUUUAGUUGCAAAUGAAUAUUUGUUUUUUGUAAUUACAAUAGCUCUUAUGUUAAAUUAAAAUAAGAUUUUAUAUGAAUUAUAUAUACCUUGUUAAUUAGUGAUUCCUAAUUAAUAGAAUACUUAGUGGAUAAAAUUCAUGAUUUUUAAUUCGUUUUGACUAUGACUUCCAAUGGCAUGUUUUCUUAAUACAAUGUCCCAAUAUAUUAUUGUUUGUAUUAUAAAUAAAACAAUUUUAGUCAUUUUUAUCCCUCAACAUUGGUAAAAGAAAAGUAAUUUCACUGAAUUUGUUGGAGGAAUCAUGUAUUUUCUGAAGCAACGACUAUUAAUAGAAACAUAAGUUAUUGAACUGGGUGAAGCAUAUGCAACAGAUAAUAUAUUAUAGUAAUAGGAUAACACACCUAUACUUAUCGUGAAAACCUGACAUAAAGGAUCAAAAUCAAAUAACAUAUAAACAUUAUAACAUAUAGUGAGAGGACACCAUGCACUAGUAGGUAUGAAUGGAUUCUUCUAGGAGCCAAAUCAAGAACUCUUCUAUACUGUCCUAUCCUAAUGCAUAUGAAAUCAGUUAUUAUGAUUCUUAACAUUACUUGUUUUGGCCCAUAAUAAAAAUAUCGCUUAUAAAUUUUAAAAUAAUAGAAAAAACUGUAGGAUACAUUAGUUUUUCCUUUGAUCACCAUUGGGGAAUUGCAAUAAUCAUCUAUUAAUUUGGAAAAUCUAUUAUUUUAAACAAAAAAUAUAUAAUCAUUCUCUCUUCCAUGAUCUAGGGAAAUAGGAACAAAAAUAAGCCAUGUCUCGCCACAUACCAUUUGGAAAAUAAUCUAUUAGUUUGGAAAAAUCAUUAUAAACAAAAUAUUUAUAAUGAUUCUCUCUUGCAUGCAUAUAUGUAUGUAUAUUACUCCUACUUCACUAAAGCCACGCAUGCAUCAUUAGUGGAAAAACCUGCUAGAUGCAUGCAUAUUUAUUGAUUUUUUUCCUUGCCCCAGACCAUGCAUGACCGCCUUUAUAAUGCAAAUUUUCCAGUGCAUAAACUAAAUACUAUAUAUACAGAUAGUUUCAGAAGGUCUGAACAUUUUUUCGAACAUAAAUUUGAAAAUUUUUACAAAAUAAAAAUAAGGAUAGAAAAUUCAUAAAACAUAGAAAAAAUACAUUGUAAUAUAUUAUAUACUCCCUUCGUCCAAAAAUAUAAUCAGUCAUAGACUUCAAAUUUUAUCCACAAAUACUAGUAUGUAGAGAGUUGCGCGUUUGCGCGGCCGUAACAUCCCUGUAUAUUAAAUGUGUUAUUUGUUAUUUACAGUAAUCAAUUUAAUUUUACAAUAAUAAUUAACACUCUAGAUGUAGGUGUGUGGACCAAAAUUGUCGGACACUGAAGUGACAAUAUUAUCAUGACAACCAAUAAUUUAACAUGCUUUCAUGCGACCAUAUCACCUUUGUAUUUAUACUAAUAUUGUAAACAGGUAAUUAGAGAAACAUAUGGUACAUAGUUUAGUAUUAUUGUUCUAAAAUAAACAAUGUUAUUGUUACAAUAAAUGAUUACAAAUGAACUAUCUAGAACAUAUUUCAUAAGUUUUAGUAGUGUGGCUGGCGGGAUGGAAGGCCGGUCAGCUGGCAGCAAAGCCAGAGACAGAAGGUUUGGAUGCAGUUUUUUUUUUUUAAUUAAAAGAAAAAUCAACGUAUCUAUCUAGACUAUCCAGUUGUUUCUCUGGGCCAUGAUUUUUUUUUAUUUCUCUAACUUUUUUUAAGCAUCAAUUUGAUUGGAUGGCUAUGAUCUUUUCUUCUACUUUGUCCUUUUCUGAAUCAAAUGGUUCAUAUUAUCCUGAUCAUGUGGAGGAUUUCAGUAAAGUUAAGUUUUGGUUUUAACUUUCACUUAGAGAGAUGAGCAUUUAAGUGUACAACAUCCAUCACUCAACCACCUCUCACUUAAUAUUUUUCGAUAAACCUUAUUGCUAAUAAUAAAUGUUCAUGUUCCUACACUGUCGAUGAAUGAUACUCGUAUACCGGAUGAUUAGGGUAUUAGGGUAUGUUAGAAUGAUGAUCUACGUAAUACGACAUCAAGCAAACAGAAGACAAGAAUUAUACUGGUUCAGGCCCCUUAUCAGGUAAUAGUACUAGUCCAGUUUAUAUGGGAUUGAUGAUUGAAAACCGCAUAUUUCAAUGGGAGUAGAAAAAUUCGACGAUACCGGCAAGAUCGUAGUUGAUGUAUUCGACGAGAUCUCCCGGUGACUUGGCUCCGUGUAUUCCGGCUUCGUAAACUAUGGUGGGUGUGUUAGCAAUGAGAUUCGAUGCCUUGCACCCCUUCCCAGGGGUCUCUUUUAUACCGUGAAUCAUCUUGAUCUCUAUGUAAGACUCGGAAACAUCGGAUCCCGUACGAUACAAUAUAAAUUUUAUCCCCUCCAAGUAGGACUUUGGAAAUCACUUAACUCGUAGAGAUAUUUUCCAUAAUUUGUAACGGAUUCCUACUACAUGUAUAGAUACACCGGUCAGACCGGCGGUACAGCAGCGGUCAGACCAGUGGUACAACUAUUUUGGAGUAUAGACUCGGGAACAUCAGAUCUACAAUAUAAACUUUAUCCCCUUCAAGUAGGACUUUGGAAAUCACUUGACUCGUAUAGAUAAUUUACAUAUUUUGUAAUGGAUUCCUACUAUGUGUAUAGAUACAACCUGUGUACGUGAAGGUAUACCAUACACGUAUAUUCUAUAAGUCGUAAGAUAGGAGGUAUAUAUGCCUUAUCCGUAACCAUAACACUCUCUUAUUUAAAUUUGUCUUAUUUUUGCGUUCCUUCCUAAUCUCUAAAGAAACUUGACAUCCCAUAUAUUUAAGGAUGUACAGGUGAAUAUAAAUAUAAGAAGAAUAAUAAAAGUAGAUCAAAUAUAGAUAAAAAAGUUAGACUAUGCAAAUUGAUGGAAUACUACUUGAAUUGUACGAGGCUACCACACUAUGGACCUUUCUAAAUGCCAGAAAAAUUUGUAAAAGCAAAUAGAUGGAACACUUUUAUGAAUUAUGGGUACGAUGACAACGGAUUGGCUUCUUAGGUGCAAGCAAACUUGUCGAUCAAUUUUAAAUCAAACAUCUGAACAUCAAAAAAAUAUAUAUGGUAAGGUGAUGACGUAGGUUAACACUCCUAUAUAUUAGACGUGUUGUGACAGAUGAGAAACAUGCAUGUAAAGAGAACUGAACUGGAAAUUAGAAGUUAGAAUCAAACCUUAAUAAUUGAUAGAAAAUAGCAAUAGCGUUCACCUGUCGCUGUGUGCAUGGCCAUGCCGUGCCCUCCCAUGUUUGCCAUUGCGUCUAUCUGAUCAGAUCGAUAUGCAGUACUACAUUCGUCUCAUUUUAAGUGUAGUCAUGAUUUUUCAUGCGCAACGUUUGACCAUUCGUCAUGUUUGAAAAUUUCAUGAAAAAAUUAAAAGAAUAAAUCAUGCAUAAAGUAUUAUUUAUGUCUUAUCAUCUAAUAACAACAAAGAUACUAACAAUAAAAAUUUUAAAUAAGACGGAUAAUCAAACAUUUGACACAGAAACUCACAACUGCACUUAAAAUUAAAGUGCAUUGGCGGUCCUUAAUCUUGUAGGGUUGUGUCAUAUAGAUCCCUAAACUUUCAAAAUGCAUAUCCAGAUCCCAGAACUUGUCAAAGUGUAUCAUCUAGGUCCCAAAUCGACGCAUCCCCUCUAAGAUCCUACGUGGUGCUGAGGACGUGACGUGUCCUUUUCUUUUUUUUUCUUCUUUUAUUUUUCUUUUUCUUUUCCGUUUUCUUCUCAUUCUUCUUUUUUUCCUUUCUUCUGCUCGGGUCACAAAGAAAGGAGAAUAAAGGGGAAAAAGAGAAGAAAAAAAGAAAAAAAAAUUAAAUGGGUCCUAUUUAUCAGUAAAAUAAUGCCAUGUCAUGUCCGUGUGGCAUGUCACAUCAACGCCACGUAGGAUCCUAAAGGGGUUGUGGUAAUUUGGGACGUAGAUGACACACUAUGACAAGUUCUGAGAUUUGGAUAUACAUUUUAAGAGUUUAGGAAUCUAAAUGACACACCCCAACAAAUAUAAGGACUGUCCGUACACAUUACUCUAAAAUUAAAAUGGAACGGAGAGAGUAGUACGUGCAAGCUGUGGAAAAUCAUAAAAGGACUGUUGUAGAGCUAUUAAUUAACGUAGAUGUUUCUGUAAUGUAUGUUCGUUGUAGUGCAUGCUUAAUACGAGAUGUUUUGGAAAAAAAAAGAGAUAUCAGUAGCAUCCCAGUAAAUAUGGAUGGCCCUGUAUACCACCACCGAUUUUAGACUGCUUGAUCGAUCGGUUUAGAAAAAAAAAAGAUUACGCACUUUCAUAAAAAGGAAAAAAAAUAUUGUACUUAAACGGAUCGGGUCAAUGGGCUUGGCAAUAGGUUAGAUGGAUUUUAAAGAGACCCACACCACAUAGAAUGUGGAUUCAAAUUUCAACGGUUGACAUAUUACAAUCUGUUUAAUCAACGGUUAGAUCACAUGAGAGGUUCUAAAAAAGUGUCUAAUUAAUAUAUAGGUAUAGAUAAAACAUCAGUACAUUGUAUAGUUUAUUGAGAUGUCAAAACAAACUGCAGUACGACUGAGUGGUAAUAGGUAGGAUGGAAAUGAAGCCAGCUUUGAGAGGAGCAAAAUUAAGCUUCAUAUCAUAUAGUUGGCCAAUGCCCCAAGCUACAGUCAACAAGAAAGUUUGUACCCCCGUCGUUUUUUAAUAGAUGAUGCCGUUGACUUUUUCACAUGUUUGAUCAUUCGUCUUAUUCAAAAAUUUUAUGCAAAUAUAUAAGAUAUAAAUUACACUUAAAGUACUAUGAGUGAUAAAACAACUCAUAACAAAAUAAAUUAUAAUUACGUAAAUUUUUUGAAUAAGACGAAUGGUCAAACAUGUGAGAAAAAGUCAACGGCAUCAUCUAUUAAAAAACAAAGGUAAUAUAAUACUAUUAGAAUACCAAUUUAUUGCAAGGAUAUAAAAUAAAUAAACCAUUAGUUACAAACUUUAAAUAGAAAUAUUUUUGCACUACUAGUAUACCGUUAGUUCCAAACAUUUGAACGCAAAGAACUAGUAAAUCUUUCACGUGAAAAAAAUGUAGUGGUGGUUUACAUUCUAUAGUCCAUCGUGUAAGCACAACCUCACUCCCACGCCCUCUCGAGCGACUCCUAGCUGCACACAUGAUGUCUGCAUGAUGUCCUUUCCCAGGCGCUUGCCCAUGAACUUCCUGUGACCUGUAGCUCUCAUGUCGUAUGGAUGUAACAGCAUGUGCAUCCGUGUCACGUGCAAUUCCAAAAUUAAUUUGUGUAUUAAAUCCUCGUCAAAAAUCAGUCAAGGUACACAAACUUAUUAUUUGAUCAUACAAUAGAAAAACUAAAACAAUAAAUUCUUAGUCCUCACCAUGACAAAAAGGUAACAAAAAGGAAAAACUAACAAAGCUUUAAAUCCACUCCGACAGGUAGCUCAACUGAGGCAUACUCCUUUUUCAACUGAGAUUGAUGAUUAUUGCAAGGUGGGUAUAUAACGUAGUCCAUAGGCCACACAACAAAUUAACGAAUGAUCUAACAGAGCCAUCAUAAAGUCAUAGCUAGUGAAUUCAUAACCCCGGGAAACAAGGAAUAAGGUUACCAGUGCAAAUUGGUCAUAACAAAGGAAUAGGUGCACACCACAAAUAAAUACAUGUUUGAAAUAAAUAAAGAAUUUAAAUAUAGGAUCAACCUGCUCAAAGGGAAGUUUGAGAUAUGUCCGACUUGCCAUGCAAACAAAUGACUUCAAUUCGUAUUCUGAAACACUUCCGACAAACUUGUGAUCCUCCGAAAUGAUAGAACUACACUAUAGCAUGCAAAACAAAGAAAAAGACUAAUAAGAAAAAAAGCUAUAGCGUACAAGAGUUUUCAAGGUAAUUUUUUUGUGAAAAUCUUUAAAGUCGUUGUUCGUCCUUCUUUUGAAUUGGAGCCUCCCAAUCCAUUUAUUUAUUUUAUUCAUUGAGUUUCACCCCCCCCCCCAUAAUCUGAUCCAUUUUCCCUUCGAAACCAAAAUUCCAAAUUUCAAGAAUUCUCCAAACGAUCUCUGUGAAAAUCAUUCCAUCAAUUCAUGUCUAUAAACUCAUAUGGAAGUUCUAUUCAAAAUCACAUAAAAAUUGAAUGACCACUAUAUCUCUCCCUGGGCCAAAAUCAACCACAAUCCAACCCGUCACCCUCUGUGUCACUUCCUCCACCAUCUCCCUAGCUCUGUCCUGCACCUUUCCAGCCCACUGCCACUGCACCCCAACAAAGGCAGCUGCCCCAACCGAGUUUAUUACGUGUGCCACACAAUGCCCCUAGGUGCCUUGCCAUCGCUCCUCCCGACCAUUCGCUCGACCACCCCUCUAUCUUCCACUAGCAUAUCCCCCCGGCCCCUAAUUUGUUUGUGUAUGGGUCCAUAUCCUCAAUGAACGGAACAUGAGGAGGUGACUAAUUCUCAUAAUUAUUAAUAAGUUAAAAAAUUACGUGGAGAAGAGAUGGGACCGCAUAGAUGUCGUACGCUAGCGAAACAACCAGGACCGUCAAACUUGCAUCUACUUAAAGCAAUAGUAUGAGUCCCUCGAUGAAAAUGCCUACCAAAGAUCUCCAUGCUGCACCGCACAUCCAUGCUAGGUUUUCAUACCGGUCCAUAAACACUCCUUUAGGGAGAUGCUUGAGCAAUAGGCCCAAGCAGAACUAGGCUUUCCCCAAGUCCUUCAUCUCAAGCUCAAUAUUAAGAUAAGCCAUUGCUUGUUUAAUGUCCUGUGUGGUGCCAAGGAUAUUUAGAUAAUUGACAUAGACCGAGAUGAUACAAAAUGCAUUCAGGGAUUUCUUUAUAAACACAGGGGGACAAUCAUAAUUGUUUGGGAAACCUCUCUUUAGGAGAUAUCUAUUUAAUUGAUUGAAUCACAUCCUUCCGGAUUGUUUUGAUCCGUACAUUGAUCGCUGCAGGCGAACAAUAUAGAUGUUGCAAUUUCCUUUCGGAUUUGGGAUCUUGAGUCCUUCAGGGACUCUCAGAUAAAGUUCCAAAUCUAAUGCCCCAUACAAGUAUGCGGUCAAUAGAUCCAUCAACCGCAUGUGUCGGUUCACAUGCUCCAUGAACAGAUCAUGAGGAGGUGAUUAAUUAUCAUUAUUCUAAGUUUUAAAAAAAAUAAGUAGAGAAGAAAUGGGACCACAUAGCUGAUUUUUGGGAGGCCUGCAUGCCCUAGGCUAGCGAAACAACCGGGACCACCCAACUAGCAUCUGUUUAUAGCAAUUGUAUAAGAACCCCUCAAUGAAAAAGUCUACCAACGAUCUCCACGCUGCACCGUGCAUCUAUGCCUAGUUUGCUUACCCUCCCUCCACCAUAAAUACGCACCCAACUGUAACAUGUAUCACCAAACAUAUCGAUCCAUCCCUCUACCAGUCAAGAAACAAGGAAGAUUACACCAACAAAUAAACUAGCUAGCCAAUGGCCUCGUUGUCCUCUUUCCGGCUUGCCGUGGCGGUGGCAGCACUGUUGGUUGUUGGCUCAUGUGCCACUGAGCUCACCUUCAAGGUCGCUGAGGGCUCUAGCGCCAGUAGUCUAGAGCUUGUCACCAACGUCGCCAUCUCUGAGGUGGAGAUCAAGGAGAAGGGUGGCAAGGACUGGGUGGCGCUCAAGGAGUCAUCAUCUAACACCUGGACGAUCAAAAGUGAGGCGCCGCUCAAGGGCCCCUUCUCUGUCCGCUUCCUUGUCAAGAAUGGCGGCUACCGCGUCGUCGAUGAUGUCAUCCCCGAA
rnacentral:lncRNA from 1 species